rnacentral:rRNA from 1 species
AUUGAACGCUGGCGGCAGGCCUAACACAUGCAAGUCGAGCGAGCGGCGGACGGGUGAGUAAUGUAUGGGGACUGCCCGUUAGAGUGGGAUAACUCCUGGAAACGGUAGCUAAUACCGCAUACUAUCGGAUAACCCAUAUGGGAUUAGCUAGUUGGUGAGGUAAUGGCUCACCAAGGCGACGAUACCUAGCUGGUCUGAGAGUAUGAUCAGCCACACUGUGACUGAGACACGGCCCAGACUCCUACGGAGGCAGCAGGGGGGAAUAUUGCACAAUGGGCGCAAGCCUGAUGCAGCCAUGCAGGGUGUAUGAAGAAGGCCUUCGGGUUGUAAGGUACGUUCAGUCGGGAGGCGUUGCCGACAGAAGAAGCACCGGCUAACUAAGUGCCAGCAGCCGCGGUAAUAC